CAAUUUUCGUGCCAGGGCCCUGUGGUUUCUAGUUACGUCCCUGGGGUAAGUCUUGUCUAGCCCAAGAUAGCCUUAAGUUUCAGAGCUGGGAAGUGAGUGGGCAUUGCCAAACUGAUCACCUGCCAGGAGAAACCAAAAAUUACCCAUGAAAUGUUCACAAUGUUUGCUCCAUUUUUAUUACUUUCAGACAACAUGUUUCUUUAUUGAUAAGCCUCAACAACUUCACAACUGAAUAUCACUCACUGAAUCAUUCCUUUGCUAAGGUAUACAGAAAAAAAGCAGGUAAUACGAAGAACAAA